rnacentral:rRNA from 1 species
UACGUAGGGCGCAAGCGUUAUCCGGAAUUAUUGGGCGUAAAGAGCUCGUAGGCGGUUUGUCGCGUCUGCUGUGAAAGACCGGGGCUCAACUCCGGUUCUGCAGUGGGUACAGGGCAGACUAGAGUGCAGUAGGGGAGACUGGAAUUCCUGGUGUAGCGGUGAAAUGCGCAGAUAUCAGGAGGAACACCGAUGGCGAAGGCAGGUCUCUGGGCUGUAACUGACGCUGAGGAGCGAAAGCAUGGGGAGCGAACAGG